CCGUACCAGUUACACCCUAAUUAGCGGCAACCAGUUCGUCAGACGGUGCCCUCAGACAAGUGUCUCUUCUUUGGUUUCCAGCACGUCGAGCAGCGGGGACGCGACAGCUUUGGGGGAGAGGAAAGCCCUGGGCCGAGAGAAGUUCCCGGUGUCCCAAGCUAAGGCUCUAGCCAGACCAGAAUGGCUGCAGUGAUACAAUUUCCUAACGGGGACGCUGUUAGCGGAAGAUUUGGAAUACAAAAAUAUGGUUCUUUGCAUCCCUGGCGUGCUGUUCCCUCGGCAUCCUCGCAGGAAAUUUAAGCAGGCAGCAGCUUGGAUUCCAGGUCUGUUUCUGCUGGCCAGCGACAGCACGAGUGUCUGCAAACUGGGAUGUACUGGAGCUGCUGCCCUGUUGUCUGAAAUGGUAAAUCAUUCCUCAUUUUGUGAUCUCUCAGGGUUUUCCAAAAUCCUGGGAAAGGUGCCUCAGUGAAUAAGGACUUUCAAUUGCUCCAUGCACUGGUGUGAAGAAGUGAGGGGCUGGCUCAGCUCCUCUCUCAAUGUGCUCACUCCUACCAUGGACCACUAGCUGGACUCAUAAGACCAAACUGCUCCUGGCUGCUCUGUUACAUCUCGAAGGAGGUUACGUUUUUAUUCAGGGUAGUUUUUCCUGAUCAUCCUUUAGGAAAAAGUUUAUGAUGAAUGAAAAGAAACCACUUUUAAAAUGCAUUAAAUAUAGGUUGUGCUAGUUUAAAUGGGAUAAGUUUAAAUGUCUCCUGAAAUUAAACCAGUGCAUAUUUCUUCAAGAAAGUAGCCAGUAAAAUUACUGAAAGUCCAAAGGCAUGAUAGGAUGUAUGAGCAGGAGAUGGUGCAGUGCAUUAAUAGGAAAGCACAGCAGUGUUAUGAGAAACAGCAUUAAAUGUAAACAAGAGAUCUAUACAUCAAAAAUUUGCUUAGAAAAUGAGCAUUGCUUUUGUGGAGUGCUACAGCUAAAUUAAAUUUGGAGUUUUAACAAAUGUUUCUACCUUAAAGUUUAAUUAAAACAUAGUAGAUACUAAGAUUCAAUUUGCAAUUGUGCAAAUAUAAAGAAUAAUUAUUUGGGUUGGAAAAAAUAGAAAUCUAUCCAAUAUUACUUUUUUAUGAGUCACAGACUUUGUUGAUUUUAUCAGAGAACAUUCCAUGCAGUCCUCACUUAGUUGCCCUGCUCCUGAACUUCAUUUGCAUAUGACCAUCUCUGGAGUUUUCAUAACAGAAUGGAAAGUCCUGCAACUAGCCCUGACUAUGAAACAAAUUUUAUUGUCUAUUUUUCUAAUAUUGUGGUAUUAAUCUGGGUGUUUCCAUAAAAACCACCCUGGAGGAAACUGAAUUGCGUUGUAACUUUAGAAGACAAAAGUUACCUUGCCAGUGGAUGGAGAAAAUGGCAAGUAUUAUAAUUUGAAUAUACAUUUGUGCAUGGGUAAUCUGUAAAACAUUCAUUUGUAUUUCUCCCCACUCACUCCUUUUAAAUGGAGCCAUUUUAUAUACAUAAACACACAGGGUAAGGAAA